rnacentral:rRNA from 1 species
AUUGAACGCUGGCGGCAGGCCUAACACAUGCAAGUCGGACGAGUGGCGGACGGGUGAGUAAUGUCUGGGGAUCUGCCUGAUGGAGGGGGAUAACUACUGGAAACGGUAGCUAAUACCGCAUACCAUCAGAUGUACCCAGAUGGGAUUAGCUUGGGGGGGGGGUAACGGCUCACCUAGGCGACGAUCCCUAGCUGGGCUGAGAGGAUGAUCAGCCACGUGGGGACUGAGACACGGCCCAGACUCCUACGGGAGGCAGCAGUGGGGAAUAUUGCACAAUGGGCGCAAGCCUGAUGCAGCCAUGCCGCGUGUAUGAAGAAGGCCUUCGGGUUGUAAAGUACUUUCAGUCGGGAGGCGUUACCGACAGAAGAAGCACCGGCUAACUCCGUGCCAGCAGCCGCGGUAAUUC